AGUGAACGCUGGCGGCAGGCCUAACACAUGCAAGUCGAGCGGCAGCGCGGGGGCAACCCUGGCGGCGAGCGGCGGACGGGUGAGGAAUGCGUCGGAAUCUGCCUCUUUGUGGGGGAUAACGUAGGGAAACUUACGCUAAUACCGCAUACGACCUACGGGUGAAAGUGGGGGACCGCAAGGCCUCACGCAGAGAGAUGAGCCGACGCCGGAUUAGCUAGUUGGCGGGGUAAAGGCCCACCAAGGCGACGAUCCGUAGCUGGUCUGAGAGGAUGAUCAGCCACACUGGAACUGAGACACGGUCCAGACUCCUACGGGAGGCAGCAGUGGGGAAUAUUGGACAAUGGGCGCAAGCCUGAUCCAGCCAUGCCGCGUGUGUGAAGAAGGCCUUCGGGUUGUAAAGCACUUUUGUCCGGAAAGAGAAGCAUUCGGUUAAUAACCGGGUGUCAUGACGGUACCGGAAGAAUAAGCACCGGCUAACUUCGUGCCAGCCGCCGCCGUAAAAC
rnacentral:rRNA from 1 species